AUACUUACCUGGCGUAGGGAUACCGUGAUCAUGCAGACGGUUCCCCUAGGGUGAGGCUGCUUCUUAACUGCACUGCGGUGUGGUUGUCCUUUGCGAUUAUUCUCAACUUCUAUAAGUUUCACUUCUACCGCUUGUGACUUGCACACACAAAACUUUUUGUUUAAUAUU
rnacentral:snRNA from 9 species